AACGAACGCUGGCGGCAGGCUUAACACAUGCAAGUCGAGCGCCCCGCAAGGGGAGCGGCAGACGGGUGAGUAACACGUGGGAGCGUACCUUUUGCUACGGAAUAGCUCCGGGAAACUGGAAUUAAUACCGUAUGUGCCCUUCGGGGGAAAGAUUUAUCGGCAAAAGAUCGGCCCGCGUCUGAUUAGCUAGUUGGUGGGGUAAUGGCCUACCAAGGCGACGUUCAGUAGCUGGUCUGAGAGGAUGAUCAGACACACUGGGACUGGGACACGGCCCAGACUCCGACGAGGGGCAGCAGUGGGGAAUAUUGGACAAUGGGCGCAAGCUUGGUCCAGCCAUGGCGCGUGAGUGAUGAAGGCCUUAGGGUUGUAAAGCUCUUUCGCUAGGGAAGAUAAUGACGGUACCUAGAGAAGAAGCCCCGGCUAACUUCGUGCCAGCCGCCGCGGUAAAAC
rnacentral:rRNA from 1 species